rnacentral:rRNA from 1 species
GUGGGGAAUAUUGGACAAUGGGCGAAAGCCUGAUCCAGCAAUGCCGCGUGAGUGAUGAAGGCCUUAGGGUUGUAAAGCUCUUUUACCAGGGAUGAUAAUGACAGUACCUGGAGAAUAAGCUCCGGCUAACUCCGUGCCAGCAGCCGCGGUAAUACGGAGGGAGCUAGCGUUGUUCGGAAUUACUGGGCGUAAAGCGCACGUAGGCGGUUAUACAAGUCAGGAGUGAAAUCCCAGGGCUCAACCCUGGAAUUGCUUUUGAAACUGUAUAGCUAGAGUCCCGGAGGGGUUAAUGGAAUUCCGAGUGUAGAGGUGAAAUUCGCAGAUAUUCGGAGGAACACCAGUGGCGAAGGCGAUUAACUGGACGGGCACUGACGCUGAGGCACGAAAGCGUGGGGAUCAAACAGGAUUAGAUACCCGGGUAGUCC